GGACUUGUAGCUCAACGGAAGAGCGGCUAGUAGUUACCUGCUAAUUACUAUGCAUCUUGUGGGUUCGACUCCCAUCAAGUCCU
rnacentral:tRNA from 1 species